UAGCUUCGGAUGGUAGAAGAGGACAGAAUCCGUAUCCGAAGCUAGCCGAAGCGCCGAGCUAACGAUAUAGAAAAUGGUACCUUUAUUUAAAAAACGUCAAAUUCGUAGCAAUGCUACGAAAAGGCGCGAAGAAGCGAAUAGUGAUAGCAGCGAUAAUCCUAUAAUUCAAAUAACAACAUCCCCAAUAAAAUUAGUAGAUAGACCUUUAAUAAGGCCAAGGCAAGUCUCCAAAUAGCUUUACCAGCUAGUCCGAAUGACCAAGGAGCAACAGCUAUUCUUCAAACAGAAACAGAAAAAGAUAGAGAUGCACAAGCAUUAUUUGAAAAAGCUCAAAACAAUGUAAUAAGAGUGGAGAUAAAGAUGAUAAAAAAUAUGAGAUUUACAAUAAUGAGGAAAACUUGCCAUUUAAAUGCUUUAUCUGCAAAAACAGUUUUAUGGAUCCAGUUGUCACAAAAUGUAAGCAUAUUUAUUUUUGUGAAAAAUGUGCUUUGAAACAAUGUAAAAAAAGUAGUUAUAUUUGCAAUACUCAAACUAAUAGCACUUUUAAUCCUGCAAAAGAAAUCAUUGCAUGAACUAAAAUGAAAAAAAAAGAAAAAGAAAAACUAAUUACAGCAAGCAAAGCUUCUAAUGAGGAUUUAAAAAAAUAAAGUAAUUUCUAUUUCUAAACGUAUAAUUUUAA